rnacentral:tRNA from 1 species
GGUUGUAGUUCAGUGGUAGAGCGCUCGCCUAGCACGUGCGAGGCACUGGGUUCAAUCCUCAUCACCA